GACGAACGCUGGCGGCGUGCUUAACACAUGCAAGUCGAACGGAAAGGCCCUGCUUUUGUGGGGUGUUCGAGUGGCGAACGGGUGAGUAACACGUGAGUAACCUGCCCUUGUCUUUGGGAUAACUUCAGGAAACUGGGGCUAAUACCGGAUAGGAGCUCCUGCUGCAUGGUGGGGGUUGGAAAGUCUCGGCGGUCGUGGAUGGACUCGCGGCUUAUCAGCUUGCUGGUCGGGUAGUUGCUUACCAAGGCUUUGACGGGUAGCCGGCCUGAGAGGGUGACCGGCCACAUGAGGCCUGAGAUAGGGACCAGAGUCCUACGGGGGGCAGCAGUGGGAAAUAUUGCACAAUGGGCGGGAGCCUGAUGCAGCAACGCCGCGUGCGGGAUGACGGCCUUCGGGUUGUAAACCGCUUUCGCCUGUGACGAAGCGGGAGUGACGGUAAUGGGUAAAGAAGCACCGGCUAACUACGUG
rnacentral:rRNA from 1 species